rnacentral:rRNA from 1 species
GAUUAAGUUAUUAAGGGCGCACGGUGGAUGCCUUGGCACUAGAAGCCGAUGAAGGACGUUACUAACGACGAUAUGCUUUGGGGAGCUGUAAGUAAGCUUUGAUCCAGAGAUUUCCGAAUGGGGAAACCCAGCAUGAGUUAUGUCAUGUUAUCGAUAUGUGAAUACAUAGCAUAUCAGAAGGCACACCCGGAGAACUGAAACAUCUUAGUACCCGGAGGAAGAGAAAGAAAAUUCGAUUCCCUUAGUAGCGGCGAGCGAAACGGGAAGAGCCCAAACCAACAAGCUUGCUUGUUGGGGUUGUAGGACACUCUAUACGGAGUUACAAAGGACGACAUUAGACGAAUCAUCUGGAAAGAUGAAUCAAAGAAGGUAAUAAUCCUGUAGUCGAAAAUGUUGUCUCUCUUGAGUGGAUCCUGAGUACGACGGAGCACGUGAAAUUCCGUCGGGAUCUGGGAGGACCAUCUCCUAAGGCUAAAUACUCUCUAGUGACCGAUAGUGAACCAGUACCGUGAGGGAAAGGUGAAAAGCACCCCGGAAGGGGAGUGAAAUAGAACCUGAAACCGUGUGCUUACAAGUAGUCAGAGCCCGUUAAUGGGUGAUGGCGUGCCUUUUGUAGAAUGAACCGGCGAGUUACGAUUUGAUGCAAGGUUAAGCAGUAAAUGUGGAGCCGUAGCGAAAGCGAGUCUGAAUAGGGCGUUUAGUAUUUGGUCGUAGACCCGAAACCAGGUGAUCUACCCUUGGUCAGGUUGAAGUUCAGGUAACACUGAAUGGAGGACCGAACCGACUUACGUUGAAAAGUGAGCGGAUGAACUGAGGGUAGCGGAGAAAUUCCAAUCGAACCUGGAGAUAGCUGGUUCUCUCCGAAAUAGCUUUAGGGCUAGCCUCAAGUGAUGAUUAUUGGAGGUAGAGCACUGUUUGGACGAGGGGCCCCUCUCGGGUUACCGAAUUCAGACAAACUCCGAAUGCCAAUUAAUUUAACUUGGGAGUCAGAACAUGGGUGAUAAGGUCCGUGUUCGAAAGGGAAACAGCCCAGACCACCAGCUAAGGUCCCAAAAUAUAUGUUAAGUGGAAAAGGAUGUGGCGUUGCCCAGACAACUAGGAUGUUGGCUUAGAAGCAGCCAUCAUUUAAAGAGUGCGUAAUAGCUCACUAGUCGAGUGACACUGCGCCGAAAAUGUACCGGGGCUAAACAUAUUACCGAAGCUGUGGAUUGUCCUUUGGACAAUGGUAGGAGAGCGUUCUAAGGGCGUUGAAGCAUGAUCGUAAGGACAUGUGGAGCGCUUAGAAGUGAGAAUGCCGGUGUGAGUAGCGAAAGACGGGUGAGAAUCCCGUCCACCGAUUGACUAAGGUUUCCAGAGGAAGGCUCGUCCGCUCUGGGUUAGUCGGGUCCUAAGCUGAGGCCGACAGGCGUAGGCGAUGGAUAACAGGUUGAUAUUCCUGUACCACCUAUAAUCGUUUUAAUCGAUGGGGGGACGCAGUAGGAUAGGCGAAGCGUGCGAUUGGAUUGCACGUCUAAGCAGUAAGGCUGAGUAUUAGGCAAAUCCGGUACUCGUUAAGGCUGAGCUGUGAUGGGGAGAAGACAUUGUGUCUUCGAGUCGUUGAUUUCACACUGCCGAGAAAAGCCUCUAGAUAGAAAAUAGGUGCCCGUACCGCAAACCGACACAGGUAGUCAAGAUGAGAAUUCUAAGGUGAGCGAGCGAACUCUCGUUAAGGAACUCGGCAAAAUGACCCCGUAACUUCGGGAGAAGGGGUGCUCUUUAGGGUUAACGCCCAGAAGAGCCGCAGUGAAUAGGCCCAAGCGACUGUUUAUCAAAAACACAGGUCUCUGCUAAACCGUAAGGUGAUGUAUAGGGGCUGACGCCUGCCCGGUGCUGGAAGGUUAAGAGGAGUGGUUAGCUUCUGCGAAGCUACGAAUCGAAGCCCCAGUAAACGGCGGCCGUAACUAUAACGGUCCUAAGGUAGCGAAAUUCCUUGUCGGGUAAGUUCCGACCCGCACGAAAGGCGUAACGAUUUGGGCACUGUCUCAACGAGAGACUCGGUGAAAUCAUAGUACCUGUGAAGAUGCAGGUUACCCGCGACAGGACGGAAAGACCCCGUGGAGCUUUACUGUAGCCUGAUAUUGAAAUUCGGCACAGCUUGUACAGGAUAGGUAGGAGCCUUUGAAACGUGAGCGCUAGCUUACGUGGAGGCGCUGGUGGGAUACUACCCUAGCUGUGUUGGCUUUCUAACCCGCACCACUUAUCGUGGUGGGAGACAGUGUCAGGCGGGCAGUUUGACUGGGGCGGUCGCCUCCUAAAAGGUAACGGAGGCGCUCAAAGGUUCCCUCAGAAUGGUUGGAAAUCAUUCAUAGAGUGUAAAGGCAUAAGGGAGCUUGACUGCGAGACCUACAAGUCGAGCAGGGUCGAAAGACGGACUUAGUGAUCCGGUGGUUCCGCAUGGAAGGGCCAUCGCUCAACGGAUAAAAGCUACCCCGGGGAUAACAGGCUUAUCUCCCCCAAGAGUUCACAUCGACGGGGAGGUUUGGCACCUCGAUGUCGGCUCAUCGCAUCCUGGGGCUGUAGUCGGUCCCAAGGGUUGGGCUGUUCGCCCAUUAAAGCGGUACGCGAGCUGGGUUCAGAACGUCGUGAGACAGUUCGGUCCCUAUCCGUCGUGGGCGUAGGAAAUUUGAGAGGAGCUGUCCUUAGUACGAGAGGACCGGGAUGGACAUACCUCUGGUGUACCAGUUGUCGUGCCAACGGCAUAGCUGGGUAGCUAUGUGUGGACGGGAUAAGUGCUGAAAGCAUCUAAGCAUGAAGCCCCCCUCAAGAUGAGAUUUCCCAACUUCGGUUAUAAGAUCCCUCAAAGAUGAUGAGGUUAAUAGGUUCGAGGUGGAAGCAUGGUGACAUGUGGAGCUGACGAAUACUAAUCGAUCGAAGACUUAAUCAA